CAACCCUCAAGCUCAGCUUGGUAUUAGGCUUCACCCUUAGGGGCGGGCUUUAAAAUCAGUGGCGGUGCCAUUCGGCUUCAAGCGUAGUAAUUUUCUCGCUUUGGAGGACCGGCUGUGUGCCUGCCAGCAACCCCAAUUUUUUAAA
rnacentral:misc_RNA from 1 species